AGUUGCCAUCAUUCAGUUGGGCACUCUAGCGAGACUGCCGGUAAUAAACCGGAGGAAGGUGGGGAUGACGUCAAAUCAUCAUGCCCCUUAUGACCUGGGCUACACACGUGCUACAAUGGUUGGUACAACGAGUUGCGAGUCGGUGACGGCGAGCUAAUCUCUUAAAGCCAAUCUCAGUUCGGAUUGUAGGCUGCAACUCGCCUACAUGAAGUCGGAAUCGCUAGUAAUCGCGGAUCAGCACGCCGCGGUCGAAUACGUUCCGGGCCUU
rnacentral:rRNA from 1 species